GGCGCCGUAGCUCAGUUGGUUAGAGCGCCUGUCUAGUAAACAGCAAGUCAUGGGUUCAAAUCCCCUCGGUGCCU
rnacentral:tRNA from 1 species